rnacentral:rRNA from 1 species
UACGUAGGGUGCGAGCGUUAAUCGGAAUUACUGGGCGUAAAGCGUGCGCAGGCGGUUUUGUAAGCCAGAUGUGAAAGCCCCGGGCUUAACCUGGGAAUGGCAUUUGGGACUGCAAGGCUUGAGUGCGGCAGAGGAGACUGGAAUUCCUGGUGUAGCAGUGAAAUGCGUAGAUAUCAGGAGGAACACCGGUGGCGAAGGCGGCUCUCUGGACCACAACUGACGCUGAGGCGCGAAAGCUAGGGGAGCAAACAGG